rnacentral:misc_RNA from 1 species
GAAUGGCAGGAAGCCGCUGCAUCCGCGCAAAAUUAGCUUCGCACAGGCACCGGCACGGCACAGGGCACAAGUGACCGAAAGCGGCGAAGUCCACGGUGGCACCAGACACAGAAGAAAAAGAUUCAACGAGCACGUCGCCACGGUCGUCACCACGUUACUCUGUAUUCACUAGGCAAUUCCAAAAGUUACUGCCUGCGUGGUGGAAGCCAAGCGAGGACAUGUCGCGGAAAACUGUCGUGAUGUGGACAGCAUUAGGUAUCGGCACUGUCGUCGUGGUUUCCUUUGCUACAACAGCACUUUUACGGAAGCGAAAGAGAGCGAAGGCGAAGCGAGUGAUAGACACGGUAUUGGAACUCCAGAAGCCCUGUGUACGAAUGAAAGACCCUGAGCGUGUUGAAGAACUUGUCUGCAAAUUGAUUAAAGGGGGCCCAAAGAAACUCCAGGUUGUUACAGAUUUCGACAACACAAUUUCGAGGUCACAUUUCAAUGGAAAACCUUGCUGUUCAACUCAUGGAGUUCUUGAAUCCAGUCGAAUCAUCAACGAGGAGUACCGCCUACAGGCGCAGAAAUUGCACGACAAGUACUACCCAAUCGAAAUUAAUCCUCAUAUUUCGACAGAGGAGAAAAUACCUCAAAUGGUGGAAUGGUACUCGCGGUCGCACGCCAUUUUAGUCAGCUGCGGCAUGAAGAAGCAUGAUUUUCCUAAGCUUGUGGCAGACUCAUCGAUUAUGUUGAGGGAUGGCUGCGAGUCAUUUUUUGAGAUGCUGCACGAGCACCAGAUACCCACUCUGGUGUUUUCUGCUGGCCUUGGUGACAUUUUGGAAGAAGCAUUGAGGCAUUUCCAGUGCCACUUUCCCAACCUGAAGUUCAUCUCCAAUUACAUGCAGUUUGAUGAAGAGGGCAACAUCGUUGGCUUUAAGGGUGAGCUGAUUCACAUGUACAACAAGAACCGGAGCCAUGUGAGCAGUCCCGAGUACUACCAGGCAGUGAAGGAGAAGACCAGCAUCCUUCUCUUAGGAGACUCUCUUGGUGACCUUGACAUGCUUGCUGGUAGUCAGCUGCAGGAAGUGGUUCUUCGCAUUGGCUUCCUUAACAGCAGAAUUGAAGAACGCCUUCCACAAUAUUUAAAUAGUUUCGACAUUGUACUUCUCGACGAUCAAACGAUGGAUGUUGUAAAUGGAAUACUAAGAAAGAUUAUCUACUAGCACAAUAUCUCCAGACAAGAGCAAGACAGCUGCAAAGGGCUGCUACUCUUUUCUCAGCGUGGUGUCAGGCAGAGGGAAAGUGCUUCUGAAGAGGCUUCAACAGCAGAACAUGAAACAAGUUUGAAAAAUGCAUGCAACAGUAAUUCAAAAAACACAUGAAUUGUCAUCUGUGGUAGCUGCUGCCAGCACAGUGCAUGUGAACCAUGCAUUGCACCUGUGGUGAAGAGCUGUGAACGUAAAUGGUCACACUGUGUGGCAAAACUUUAUACUGUGGCUCUUCCACACCAUGUUUCAGUUUCAUAACUUGAUUUGUCAUCACAUUUUUGCAAGCUGCACUUUUGAAUUUAAAAGACAAGA